rnacentral:rRNA from 1 species
GAUAAACGCUGGCGGCGUGCCUAACACAUGCAAGUCGAACGCAUUCGAGCGAUCGAGUGAGUGGCGGACGGGUGAGGAACACGUGGGUACCUGCCCUUUGGUGAGGAAUACCGGCGAGAAAUCGCCGACAAUACCGCAUAGGUUUGUGAAAGCAAACAAAGCCCGAGUGAUCGGGGGCCAGAGGAGGGGGCUGCGGCCGAUUAGCUAGUUGGGGGGGUAAGAGCUUCCCAAGGCGACGAUCGGUAGCUGGUCUGAGAGGAUGAUCAGCCACACUGGGAUUGAGAACGGCCCAGACUCCUACGGGGGGCAGCAGUGAGGAAUUUUCGUCGAUGGGGGAAACCCUGAACGAGCAACGCCGCGUGCAGGAAGAAGGUUUUCGGAUCGUAAACUGCUUUUCUCUGGGACGAGGAAGGACGGUACCAGAGGAAGAAGCCCCGGCUAACUACGUGCCAGCCGCCGCCGUAAUAC